UACGUAGGGGGCAAGCGUUGUCCGGAAUCAUUGGGCGUAAAGCGCGUGUAGGCGGCUUGGUAAGUCCGCUCUGAAAGCCCGGGGCUCAACCCCCGGGAGGCGGGUGGAUACUGUCAAGCUCGAGUCCGGAAGAGGCGAGUGGAAUUCCUGGUGUAGCGGUGAAAUGCGCAGAUAUCAGGAGGAACACCAAUGGCGAAGGCAGCUCGCUGGGACGUGACUGACGCUGAGACGCGAAAGCGUGGGGGAGCAAACAGG
rnacentral:rRNA from 1 species